AGAGUUUGAUCAUGGCUCGGAACGAACGCUGGCGGCAGGCCUAAUACAUGCAAGUCGAGCGCAUCCUUCGGGAUGAGCGGCGGACGGGUGAGUAACGCGUGGGAAUAUGCCCUUCUCUAAGGAAUAGCCUCGGGAAACUGAGAGUAAUACCUUAUACGCCCUUCGGGGGAAAGAUUUAUCGGAGAAGGAUUAGCCCGCGUUAGAUUAGGUAGUUGGUGGGGUAAUGGCCUACCAAGCCUACGAUCUAUAGCUGGUUUGAGAGGAUGAUCAGCCACACUGGGACUGAGACACGGCCCAGACUCCUACGGGAGGCAGCAGUAGGGAAUCUUAGACAAUGGGGGAAACCCUGAUCUAGCCAUGCCGCGUGUGUGAUGAAGGCCUUAGGGUCGUAAAGCACUUUCGCCAGAGAUGAUAAUGACGGUAUCUGGUAAAGAAACCCCGGCUAACUCCGUGCCAGCAGCCGCGGUAAUACGGAGGGGGUUAGCGUUGUUCGGAAUUACUGGGCGUAAAGCGCACGUAGGCGGAUUAGUAAGUUAAGGGUGAAAUCCCAGGGCUCAACCCUGGAACUGCCUUUAAUACUGCUAGUCUUGAGUUCGAGAGAGGUAAGUGGAAUUCCAAGUGUAGAGGUGAAAUCCGUAGAUAUUUGGAGG
rnacentral:rRNA from 1 species